CAAUAGCGUAUAUUAAAGUUGUUGCAGUUAAAAAGCUCGUAGUUGGAUUUCUGGUAGGAGUGACCGUGCCAGACUUGAUUGUCUGUGUAUUGUGUUGUCUCCAGCCAUCCUUGUGGAGAACUUUUCUUGCAUUAAUUUGUAGGGAUUGGGACCCGCAUCGUUUACUGUGAAAAAAUUAGAGUGUUUAAAGCAGGCAAUCGCUUGAAUACAUUAGCAUGGAAUAAUAAGAUAGGACUUUGGUACUAUUUUGUUGGUUUGCAUACCAAAUUAAUGAUCAACAGGAACAGUUUGAGGAUAUUCGUAUGAACGUGUCAGAGGUGAAAUUCUUGGAUUUUGAUCAGACGAACUACUGCGAAAGCAUUUAUCAAGGAUGUUUUCAUUAA
rnacentral:rRNA from 1 species